CACCCCCGAUUCCUCAUAAGUAUUCGCCACCUUGUCCUCUUCCGAUUUUUCACAAAAACGGAGUUCCCCGGUGCCCUAGAGCUGCCGUACAACGUCGCCCGAGUUCUGCCUGCAGAAGCUUCCACCACCGUUAAUUCUGAUGAAACCCAAGGGGGUGCACCAUGAUGACGCCGGCGACCCUGACCAGAAGCACAUCGUCGCCGCGAACUCUUCCUGGACCAUGCCGUCGCUAGCAGAUCUUCCCGAAGACCCCCACGACAUGUUCGAGACCGCCUAUCUCCGCAGCUUCUUGCUGUGACCUUGUCAUCCCGAGGAGAUCACCAGAGACGACCCCAACGUUGAUCCCGUGCCGCACGCUUCUGUUUUGUUCAACUCCGGCGCCACCCAGCCCCUGUUUCCGAUUGUUCGGAGUGUGAAGCGGAUCAGAAUUAAUCGUGAGACUACUUCAACACUGUUCAAGGCAAGUUUGCACUUUUGAUUUUGCUCAUCCUAUAUCCAGCUAUGUAUGUGUGGUUUUAUGCUAUGAUAUGUGCUUAAUUUGAUCUGUAUAUUCUUUGUUGUCAUAUUUGGGUAUUGAUUGUAUUAUGUGAUUGUGUGAUUAGCUUACUAUGGUAGACGUGGGUUUGUGUCGAGUGUUUAGUGGUGAGUGUUUAUAGCCGUAGAGAAUGUGUCACUGGUAGAGCGCUCUAUUAUCCCUAGAGAAUGCGCCAUUAACAGAACGCACUUGAGGCGAGGUAUAUUUUUUGGAACUUAAAUCAGGUGAAUGCGUCUUUGGCAGAGCGCUCUAUUGUUCCUAGAGAACACGCCAUCGACAUAGCGCACUUGAGAGACUUCUGAAGUUCGUGUCAUGUUUACUUAGUGGAGGUAGGUGAAGACAUUCUUCUGCACGCCAACUUGAGUGUUUUAUUUGCCAUACAUUUCUUUAUGGAUGUAGGUUUGCUAUAUCAUAUUUGAUUUGCCAAUACAUUCAAUGUAUUGACACUUUUGGCCGCAACUUAUUAUGUUGCAGGAUUUUCAGAUGAUCAGUGAGAUACAGUAUGGUCACGAGUCUUCACUCGGCAUUUUCGCCAUGGGCAUUGAUGGGACUCAUCGUUUAUUAUGCUACUUCCCGAUGUUAUUAUUUAAUAAAGUUAGCUAUGUGCUACGAGAUUGUAAUACAUUAUAAUUUCUCGAUCAUACGUUGUAGUUAAUGAUGCACUUGUUAUUUGGUAUUCAUAUGCAUUGUGUGUGCUAGCGAGUCAAUUCAGG